GGGAGGGGAGCUGCAGAGCAGUAAAAGAGCUGAACUUAUUGUUCUAAAAUGGUUAUUCCUCUCUAAUUCUCAUGGAACUACAACUGCUUUUAACAUAUUUACAUUAAAAAAAUAGUUUUCUUCCUUAAAUGACCCCACAGAUUCAACAGAUAUUGCACAAGGGAAAUGGUAUAGGAAGGUCUUGCUCAAGCCUAGUCCUUAAACCUUAAUUCCUAGUUCUAGGAUCAAAACAAAAAACUGGAAUUUUAGCAAUUUUCAUAGCAGUUUAUAAUGAACUAAGAUAAAUAUUUUGAAACUAAAUCUGAUGAUGAAACUACCUAGCCAGUGCCACUGCAAUUUGCAGACCAGGAAAUAACCAACAAGCUACAUAAUUAAAUUAAAUUAAUCAAUGAAUCCACACAGAGGUUCCAUUAGAAAUAAAAUAUAUUUCUAUUCAAAUGAGAAAUGAAAGAUAAAUGCAUGCAACAUUCUCAAACUUUUCUCCUUUAUAAUCAUUGAGUGGG
rnacentral:misc_RNA from 1 species